rnacentral:rRNA from 1 species
UGCAGUCGAGCGGUAAGGCCUUUCGGGGUACACGAGCGGCGAACGGGUGAGUAACACGUGGGUGAUCUGCCCUGCACUUCGGGAUAAGCCUGGGAAACUGGGUCUAAUACCGGAUAUGACCUCCUAUCGCAUGGCGGGUGGUGGAAAGAUUUAUCGGUGCAGGAUGGGCCCGCGGCCUAUCAGCUUGUUGGUGGGGUAAUGGCCUACCAAGGCGACGACGGGUAGCCGACCUGAGAGGGUGACCGGCCACACUGGGACUGAGACACGGCCCAGACUCCUACGGGAGGCAGCAGUGGGGAAUAUUGCACAAUGGGCGAAAGCCUGAUGCAGCGACGCCGCGUGAGGGAUGACGGCCUUCGGGUUGUAAACCUCUUUCAGCAGGGACGAAGCGCAAGUGACGGUACCUGCAGAAGAAGCACCGGCUAACUACGUGCCAGCAGCCGCGGUAAUACGUAGGGUGCAAGCGUUGUCCGGAAUUACUGGGCGUAAAGAGUUCGUAGGCGGUUUGUCGCGUCGUUUGUGAAAACCAGCAGCUCAACUGCUGGCUUGCAGGCGAUACGGGCAGACUUGAGUACUGCAGGGGAGACUGGAAUUCCUGGUGUAGCGGUGAAAUGCGCAGAUAUCAGGAGGAACACCGGUGGCGAAGGCGGGUCUCUGGGCAGUAACUGACGCUGAGGAACGAAAGCGUGGGUAGCGAACAGGAUUAGAUACCCUUGGUAGUCCACGCCCGUAAACCGGUGGGCGCUAGGGUGUGGGGUUCCUNUCCACGGGAAUCCCGUGCCCGUAGCUAAACGCAUUAAAGCGCCCCCGCCUGGGGGAGUACGGGCCGCAAAGGCUAAAAACUCCA